rnacentral:rRNA from 1 species
GUUCUCUCCGAAAUAGCUUUAGGGCUAGCCUCGAGGUAAAGAGUCAUGGAGGUAGAGCACUGUUUGGACUAGGGGCCCUUCUCGGGUUACCGAAUUCAGAUAAACUCCGAAUGCCAUGUACUUAUACUCGGGAGUCAGACUGCGAGUGAUAAGAUCCGUAGUCGAAAGGGAAACAGCCCAGACCACCAGUUAAGGUCCCCAAAUAUAUGUUAAGUGGAAAAGGAUGUGGGGUUGCUUAGACAACCAGGAUGUUGGCUUAGAAGCAGCCACCAUUGAAAGAGUGCGUAAUAGCUCACUGGUCGAGUGACCCCGCGCCGAAAAUGUACCGGGGCUAAACAUAUUACCGAAACUGUGGAUGAACCUCUUUAGAGGUUCGUGGUAGGAGAGCGUUCUAAGGGCGGUGAAGUCAGACCGGAAGGACUGGUGGAGCGCUUAGAAGUGAGAAUGCCGGUAUGAGUAGCGAAAGAAGGGUGAGAAUCCCUUCCACCGAAUAUCUAAGGUUUCCUGAGGAAGGCUCGUCCGCUCAGGGUUAGUCGGGACCUAAGCCGAGGCCGAUAGGCGUAGGCGAUGGACAACAGGUAGAGAUUCCUGUACCAGUGCUAAUUGUUUAACCGAUGGGGUGACACAGAAGGAUAGGGAAUCGCACGAAUGGAAAUGUGCGUCCAAGCAGUGAGUGUGAGAAGUAGGCAAAUCCGCUUCUCGCGAAGCAUGAGCUGUGAUGGGGAAGGAAAUUAAGUACGGAAGUUCCUGAUUUCACGCUGUCAAGAAAAGCCUCUAGGAAGAGUAGUACUGCCCGUACCGCAAACCGACACAGGUAGAUGAGGAGAGAAUCCUAAGGUGAGCGAGAGAACUCUCGUUAAGGAACUCGGCAAAAUGACCCCGUAACUUCGGGAGAAGGGGUGCUCUAUUAGGGUGCAAGCCCGAGAGAGCCGCAGUGAAUAGGCCCAGGCGACUGUUUAGCAAAAACACAGGUCUCUGCAAAACCGUAAGGUGACGUAUAGGGGCUGACGCCUGCCCGGUGCUGGAAGGUUAAGAGGAGUGCUUAGCUUCGGCGAAGGUACGAAUUGAAGCCCCAGUAAACGGCGGCCGUAACUAUAACGGUCCUAAGGUAGCGAAAUUCCUUGUCGGGUAAGUUCCGACCCGCACGAAAGGCGCAACGAUCUGGGCACUGUCUCAACGAGAGACUCGGUGAAAUUAUAGUACCUGUGAAGAUGCAGGUUACCCGCGACAGGACGGAAAGACCCCGUGGAGCUUUACUGCAACCUGAUAUGGAAUGUUUGUACCGCUUGUACAGGAUAGGUAGGAGCCGAAGAGACGUGUGCGCUAGCAUACGAGGAGGCAAUGGUGGGAUACUACCCUGGCUGUAUGACCAUUCUAACCCGCCACGCUUAGCGCGUGGGGAGACAGUGUCAGGUGGGCAGUUUGACUGGGGCGGUCGCCUCCUAAAGAGUAACGGAGGCGCCCAAAGGUUCCCUCAGAAUGGAUGGAAAUCAUUCGCAGAGUGUAAAGGCACAAGGGAGCUUGACUGCGAGACUGACAAGUCGAGCAGGGACGAAAGUCGGGCUUAGUGAUCCGGUGGUUCCGCAUGGAAGGGCCAUCGCUCAACGGAUAAAAGCUACCCCGGGGAUAACAGGCUUAUCUCCCCCAAGAGUCCACAUCGACGGGGAGGUUUGGCACCUCGAUGUCGGCUCGUCGCAUCCUGGGGCUGUAGUCGGUCCCAAGGGUUGGGCUGUUCGCCCAUUAAAGCGGCACGCGAGCUGGGUUCAGAACGUCGUGAGACAGUUCGGUCCCUAUCCGUCGCGGGCGCAGGAAAUUUGAGAGGAGCUGUCCUUAGUACGAGAGGACCGGGAUGGACACACCGCUGGUGUACCAGUUGUUCCGCCAGGAGCAUCGCUGGGUAGCUAUGUGUGGCAGGGAUAAACGCUGAAAGCAUCUAAGCGUGAAGCCCCCCUCAAGAUGAGAUUUCCCAUUUCUUCGGAAAGUAAGAUCCCUGAAAGAUGAUCAGGUAGAUAGGUUUGGAGUGGAAGUGUAGCGAUACAUGGAGCGGACAAAUACUAAUCGAUCGAGGACUUAACCAA